GUGGGGAAUAUUGGGCAAUGGGGGAAACCCUGACCCAGCAACGCCGCGUGAAGGAAGAAGGCUUUCGGGUUGUAAACUUCUUUUAUGAGGGACGAAGAAGUGACGGUACCUCAUGAAUAAGCCACGGCUAACUACGUGCCAGCAGCCGCGGUAAUACGUAGGUGGCAAGCGUUGUCCGGAUUUACUGGGUGUAAAGGGCGCGUAGGCGGGAUAGCAAGUCAGGUGUGAAAUCCGGGGGCUUAACCCUCGAACUGCACUUGAAACUGUUAUUCUUGAGUGAUGGAGAGGCAAGCGGAAUUCCUAGUGUAGCGGUGAAAUGCGUAGAUAUUAGGAGGAACACCAGUGGCGAAGGCGGCUUGCUGGACAUUAACUGACGCUGAGGCGCGAAAGCGUGGGGAGCAAACAGGAUUAGAAACCCUAGUAGUCC
rnacentral:rRNA from 1 species